AGAGUUUGAUCAUGGCUCAGAUUGAACGCUGGCGGCAUGCUUUACACAUGCAAGUCGGACGGCAGCACAGAGAAGCUUGCUUCUUGGGUGGCGAGUGGCGAACGGGUGAGUAACAUAUCGGAACGUACCGAGUAAUGGGGGAUAACUAAUCGAAAGAUUAGCUAAUACCGCAUAUUCUCUGAGGAGGAAAGCAGGGGACCUUCGGGCCUUGCGUUAUUCGAGCGGCCGAUAUCUGAUUAGCUAGUUGGUGGGGUAAAGGCCUACCAAGGCGACGAUCAGUAGCGGGUCUGAGAGGAUGAUCCGCCACACUGGGACUGAGACACGGCCCAGACUCCUACGGGAGGCAGCAGUGGGGAAUUUUGGACAAUGGGCGCAAGCCUGAUCCAGCCAUGCCGCGUGUCUGAAGAAGGCCUUCGGGUUGUAAAGGACUUUUGUCAGGGAAGAAAAGGCUGUUGCUAAUACCGACAGCUGAUGACGGUACCUGAAGAAUAAGCACCGGCUAACUACGUGCCAGCAGCCGCGGUAAUACGUAGGGUGCGAGCGUUAAUCGGAAUUACUGGGCGUAAAGCGAGCGCAGACGGUUACUUAAGCAGGAUGUGAAAUCCCCGGGCUCAACCUGGGAACUGCGUUCUGAACUGGGUGACUAGAGUGUGUCAGAGGGAGGUAGAAUUCCACGUGUAGCAGUGAAAUGCGUAGAGAUGUGGAGGAAUACCGAUGGCGAAGGCAGCCUCCUGGGAUAACACUGACGUUCAUGCUCGAAAGCGUGGGUAGCAAACAGGAUUAGAUACCCUGGUAGUCCAA
rnacentral:rRNA from 1 species